AAAGUGCGAUAACUCAGGUGAACUGCAACUGGCGCGAUUCCUUGAAAUUUUGAACGCAAAGUGUGCCCCGGUGUAACAGCUGGGGCGUGUUUGUUUGAGCGUCUAAUACAAACCCUUGCUGCUUUAUGCAUGCAAUCGUGAACUUUGUAGUUUAUUCUGCAUCGUUUUAAAACCAUUGGCAAAUCGCUGUGAGUUGUUUGCAUCAAACCAAUUGUUGUUAAGAAGUUUACACUUCAUUUUGCAGUUGUUUUUUGCAAUUUUGCAGAGGUUAAAAUGUCAUUCCGUUCCCUCAAUUUCUCGACCUCAAAUCAAGCACGAUUACCCGCUGAAUUUAA
rnacentral:misc_RNA from 1 species